UCCAAUUGUGGGGUUCGCAAGUUCCUGUAGUCAGAAUUCAAAACUGAAGGGUGGUUGUCAAGUACCAGAGGUGUUCCAAAAAUGGCAUAUUUCUUCACUAAUACAGAUAAAACCCUGGCCUUCCCUUCUGUUAUGGGCCUCUUUUGGCCAGCAAUAAACAACAGCUAAGACUACAAUUAUUGUGCAAGGGAAAAGGUGGCAAAAACAGAUAUAUAGAGAGGAAGAGCCCUUUGGUUGAAUCAGCAACCAGAGGGUCAAAUCAGCAACCAGAGGGUCAAAUUUUGUUUCAGGAAGGAGAGAAGGAGGGGAACCCAUAAUUUUCCCUUUUCAAUCAUGCAAUUUUUGAGGAUCGUUAGGCCUCUCCUUCCGGGAUUUAGGGUUUCACAGCUAACAUCGCUGGCGUUGUGCUUGUAAAUGCAUCUCUGUAGACUCCUUCCUCCUUGGAUCUACCAUAUUAUUGCAUGCAUGGGAGCAGAGGUUGUUUUGGAUGCUGUGCUAAACCUUCUACAAUUUUUACGGUUUAUGACCCAUCAAAGGGUCUGACAAUUCAAAGUCAAACAGUAAAGCAACCCAGCACUACAGACGACUUCGAAAGCAGUAGUGCAGGUGAAAUGGACCAUAGUGGAGUACAAUCCCAAAGAAGUAUUUCAACAAUCAUUACCUUGAAUCAGACCUGUGAUCCCUCUACUAGUGACGGCAGCACAAGCAAUCCUUCUGAAUUUGUAAAUCAUGGUCUUCUUCUUUGGAAUCAAACAAGGCAGCAGUGGCUUGCAAAUAAAAGGUCUCCAAACAGGGCACAAGUUCGAGAACCGGCAAUAAGAUGGAAUGCCACUUAUGAGAGUUUACUUGGGAGCAACAAGCCUUUUCCCCGACCUAUCCCUCUUACUGAAAUGGUGGAUUUUCUUGUUGAUGUUUGGAGAGAAGAAGGUUUGUAUGACUAAAUAAGCUGGAAAUUUUACAAGUGCUUUCUCCUUCCUUCCUCAUGUAUCGCUUAAAGGUUGCAUUUGCCUUGUGAUUUCUAUCGCUUUUCUUUCAUUCAAGUGUAGCCUCCUUGUAUACUCUUUGUGGAGUAGCAGUUGCUCUGCAAUUUUAUCAACCUUGAUUGUGUGCAAACAUUGAUUCAUUUAUAGGCACAGGACUUGUAAAUCCAAAUUCUCAUUUCUUGAUUUUACCAUGAUAAAAGAACUUUUGUUCAUAAAUAAGGAGAUCAUAAUCCAAUAUACUGUAAUAAGUGUAUU
rnacentral:misc_RNA from 1 species